AACGAACGCUGGCGGCAUGCCUAACACAUGCAAGUCGAACGCUACCUUCGGGCCUUGUGUCGCACGGGUGCGUACCACGUGGUAACCUGCCCUUAGGUUCCGAAUCACUCCCUGUAAGGGGUCCUCAUACCGGGUAAUGUCUUCGUACCUAUUGUUUAUGGCGUUUGGAUGGGCCCGCGUUGGAUUAGCUAGUUGUAAGGGUAAAAGCCUACGAAGGCGAGGUUCCAUAGCUGGUCUGAGAGGAUGAUCGGCAACACUGGGACUGAGACACGGCCCAGACGCGGACGGGAGGGAGUAGUGGGGGAUAGUGGACAAUGGGCGAAAGCCUGAUGCAGCAAUGCCGCGUGAGUGAUGAAGGCCUUAGGGUUGUAAAGCUGUUGUAACCGGGAUGAUAAUGACAGUACCGGGUGAAUAAGCGCCGGCUAACUACGUG
rnacentral:rRNA from 1 species